rnacentral:tRNA from 1 species
GGAGUGGUGCUCGAGUGGUUGAAGAGGCACGCCUGGAAAGCGUGUAUACGCCAAAAGCGUAUCGGGGGUUCGAAUCCCCCUCACUCCGCCA